AUGAACGCUGGCGGCGUGCCUAAUACAUGCAAGUCGAGCGAACAGAUGAGGAGCUUGCUCCUCUGACGUUAGCGGCGGACGGGUGAGUAACACGUGGAUAACCUACCUAUAAGACUGGGAUAACUUCGGGAAACCGGAGCUAAUACCGGAUAAUAUAUUGAACCGCAUGGUUCAAUAGUGAAAGACGGUUUUGCUGUCACUUAUAGAUGGAUCCGCGCCGCAUUAGCUAGUUGGUAAGGUAACGGCUUACCAAGGCGACGAUGCGUAGCCGACCUGAGAGGGUGAUCGGCCACACUGGAACUGAGACACGGUCCAGACUCCUACGGGAGGCAGCAGUAGGGAAUCUUCCGCAAUGGGCGAAAGCCUGACGGAGCAACGCCGCGUGAGUGAUGAAGGUCUUCGGAUCGUAAAACUCUGUUAUUAGGGAAGAACAAAUGUGUAAGUAACUAUGCACGUCUUGACGGUACCUAAUCAGAAAACCACGGCUAACUACGUG
rnacentral:rRNA from 1 species